UACGUAGGGAGCAAGCGUUGUCCGGAAUCAUUGGGCGUAAAGCGCGCGUAGGUGGCUAUGUAAGUCCGUUGUGAAAGUCAAAGGCUCAACCUUUGAAAGCCGAUGGAUACUGCAUAGCUAGAGUACGGAAGAGGCGAGUGGAAUUCCUGGUGUAGCGGUGGAAUGCGCAGAUAUCAGGAGGAACACCAAUAGCGAAGGCAGCUCGCUGGGACGUUACUGACACUGAGGAGCGAAAGUGUGGGGAGCGAACAGG
rnacentral:rRNA from 1 species